rnacentral:RNase_P_RNA from 1 species
CCACGCAAGUGGGAUCAGGUAAGGGUGAAAGGGUGCGGUAAGAGCGCACCGCGCGGCUGGCAACAGUCCGUGGCACGGUAAACUCCACCCGGAGCAAGGCCAAAUAGGGGUUCACAUGGUACGGCCCGUACUGAACCCGGGUAGGCUGCUUGAGCCAGUGAGCGAUUGCUGGCCUAGAGGAAUGACUGUCCACGACAGAACCCGGCUUACCGGUCAACUCCACUC